AGAUCCUAAAGCUUCUUGAGACAAAACAAAACAGAAACCAAAGCAGGUUACAUAUCAAGAAAUUUAGCGACCUGUGAAGGAGAAGGAAAAGCAAUGACGUAGAGUUUCUCAACAAUUCUGGGAGCUAAAAUAUUGUGGAGCAAGUCCUCCAAUAUUCCGAGUGAAAGUUAUUUUCAACCUAGAACUCUGUGCUCAGCCAGAAUAAAAACAGUUCCAGACAUGCACGCUCUGUGGGAAAAAAGACCUGGAAGCAACCUCCCUCAAGGAACUAUUGGUGGAUAUGUUCCACAACAUGAGGGUAUAUAAUCAAGAAAAAGACACACAUUCCGGAAAUAGGAAACUCACCUCCAGGAAUGAGGAAUAAGACCUUCCCAGGAUGGAUGUGAAGCAGACCCAAGGACAUCAGUUGAGAGCUGUGCCUUCCAAAUUUUGAUGUGCAUAGGAAUUACCAGGGGAUCUUGUUGCAAUACAGAUACUGAUUCAGAAAGUCUGGGUACGGCCUAAAAUUUGGCGUUUUUAACAAAUUCCCUCAGGAUGCUGGGGCUGCUGGUUCAGAGACUACACUCUGCAUAUCAGGGGUGUAGAGAAAAAACAGUCCAAAUUGUACCAAGACGACGACGGGACAGAGACAGAGACAGAGACAUUUAUUUCCAUCUCGGAGACAAUCGGGAAUGAAUUAGUGUAAGUCAAUAACCGUAUAGUAGGGGAGGGAGAGGGAUGGAGGACAAGGAGAAAAGGAUUAAUAUUUCACGUAAACAUAAAUGAAGAAAAAACAAGGAAGGGGCUGUAUUGAGGGCAGCCGCAUACAUCCAACCUUGCCUCUAGUAGACACCUGAAGAGGAAGGUUGGACCACCCUAACGGAUUCAGAUUCAGUAGUCUGGGGGGCGUCUCUGGAGUGACCCUGGAAGAUGCUCCAGAAAGCCUAGAUGCGGACCACAAGGACAGAAGACUCCCCUUUCCCUGCCCAGCAGGGUAGUAGGCAGGGCCUCAAAGCGCCCGGCGCCAGGCCUCAGGGGGCGGGGCAUGGGCGGAGCCUUUUCCCUAAAUUGGCGCGCCCGAGGGGCGCUGGGAUUCGGAUUGGAGGCUUUGGAACCCGGAAGCAGUUGGCAGCUCUCGAAAGCGGCCGCGGAUCGGGGAAUUCUGCUGGCGCCACCGCUGCAGAAUGUUGGAGAAGCAACAUAAUGAAGUGGUUGAGAAUCUGCUGUGGCGCCAGGAGAGUUACUGCAAUUACUAAAGACAAUUUGGAGAACGGAAGUUUUGUGUGCCAAUUUUCAGUGUGA
rnacentral:lncRNA from 1 species